GUCGCCUGUCCGGAACUGUUGCUGCCGGCGCCGGCGACGUCCCCGACCUAUUGCUGCCUUCCACAACUCCUUCAUGCUGCUGCCGAUGACCUCCCCGAUCUGCAGCUGCCCUUUGAGGUUGUUCUAUCAAGGUUGCAAGAGCAGGGAGCACACUCUGAGGCGAGAUACUGAGGGGCAAUAGACUGCAUUAGAAAGACCUUGAUGCUUUGGAAGCCAAUAUGGAGUUCAAAUUGAAUUCAGUCCCAUCCUACCUUCAACAAGACAAGGAGCGGUCACCUUGGAGCCCUAAACCGGCAGCAGGCUUCUUUGAUCUGGAGAAUGGAAACAGGAGGUCAAGAUUGACCUUAAGCACCUCCACAUCAACACUACAAUGUGAUGCAGCUGAUGGAGGGAGGACGCCAAGCGGCGCGGCAUGGUCUUGGUC